rnacentral:lncRNA from 1 species
AAAGAACACAGUGGUUCUUAACCUGGAGUCCUCAAACGGGGGGCCCGGCCGAUCCACUGGGGGCCCCGGCCCGGCCGAUCCACUGGGGGGAGGGGUACCCCAGUGGGAUCAGUCACACACUUCAAAGUGUACACUAUAUUAACGUUAGGGACCAGUCACACACUUCAAAGUGUACAGUAUUUUAAUGAUCGGAUAAAUCAGGCGUACAUCAAGUAUACAACAGAAUACUAACAGAUCUAGAAUCAGAGAGAAGACAUGAUCAGUUUCUACAUUACCCCCCCAGACGGAUCACAUCGACAUGAUCCGUUUCUACAUUACCCCCCCAGAGGGAUCACAUCAACAUGAUCAGUUUCUACAUUACCCCCCCAGACGGAUCACAUUGACAUGAUCAGUUUUCAGGCAUGUUUCACGGUUAGUAAAGAGAGAACAGGGGCACGGGAGAGAAAACAGGGGCACGGGAGAGAAAACAGGGGCACGGGAGAGAAAACAGGGGCGCGGGAGAGAAAACAGGGGCGCGGGAGAGAAAACAGGGGCGCGGGAGAGAAAACAGGGGCGCGGGAGAGAAAACAGGGGCGCGGGAGAGAAAACAGGGGCGCGGGAGAGAAAACAGGGGCACGGGAGAGAAAACAGGGGCGCGGGAGAGAGAACAGGGGCGCGGGAGAGAGAACAGGGGCGCGGGAGAGAGAACAGGGGCGCGGGAGAGAGAACAGGGGCACGGGAGAGAGAACAGGGGCACGGGAGAGAGAACAGGGGCACGGGAGAGAGAACAGGGGCACGGGAGAGAGAACAGGGGCACGGGAGAGAGAACAGGGGCACGGUAGGCAUCUCUCUCAUUUCACACCGUCUCCUUAACGACGGACAUGUUUCAGUACGAUACAGUUAAUUUCAAACCGUUGACAGAAGCGCUGCGUCGUGGUCCUGAACACAGCCUACCAUCAUCAUCAUCAUCCUCAUCAUCAUCAUGGCACUAAAACCAGAGCAGCAGAGUCGUGGUCCUGAACAGAGCCGAGUCGUAGCAAGCAAAGCCCAGGGAUCACCGUCCGUUCUUAAAAACACUGACGUCGCCUUUUCGCGACGUAAACAAGAGUUUCUAUUUGACAACACUUCAGGCAGGUCCCGUUCCAGAUGCUUCCGGUUGGUUCCUAGUGAAUCCAUCCUUGUUCCACUGCGGUCCAGUCCUCCACCGGGUCAGUAACGGUCCAGUCCCCCCCGGGGUCGGUAACGGUCCAGUCCCCCCCGGGUCGGUAACGGUCCAGUCCCCCCCGGGUCGGUAACGGUCCAGUCAAUAACGGUCCAGUCAGUAACGGUCCAGUCCUCCACCGGGUCAGUAACGGUCCAGUCAAUAACGGUCCAGUCCUCCACCGGGUCGGUAACGGUCCAGUCAAUAACGGUCCAGUCCCCCCCGGGGUCGGUAACGGUCCAGUCCCCCCCGGGGUCGGUAACGGUCCAGUCAGUAACGGUCCAGUCAGUAACGGUCCAGUCCCCCCCGGGUCAGUAACGGUGCAGUCCCCCCAGGUCAGUAACGGUCCAGUCUCCCCCGGGUCAGUAACGGUCCAGUCUCCCCCGGGUCAGUAACGGGUCAGUAAUGGCACUUCUCAGGGUUGGUCCAACAGCCUGGGUCUGAAUCUUAACAGCUGUUAGCCUGCUGAACUGAAGCCAAGGCAUUAACUUGGGGGAGCUAACAAGUCUUCAGUAAACAGUCCUGGAAUUAUCCCAAAGCAGGAGAGGGGCUGGUGUAGUCAGUGGGCAGAGCUAAGGUACGGCAGCUCCACCCAUAAUGCACUGGGCUAAGGUCACAGAGGUCGUGACCACUUCUGACCCUGCCCACAUCAGGGGUUAAAGUUCAUAUAGCAGAGAUAUUAAAAAAAAAAAAACAGUCAUGAUCCUGAAGGAUGAUGAAACACAAUCAGUGUGUGUGUGUGUGUGUGUGUGGGGGUCAGAGUUCAUAUGGUCCGUUUGACACAGGGUCGUCCACUGAGGUGGGAACAUAUGGCUGCUCAACCAAUCAGCAUCCUCUAACAUGUCCACACCUAGACACAGAAAGAGAGAGAGAGGAGGAGAGACAAGCGAGACACAAGAAAGAGAGAGCGAAAGACAGAGAGAGAGAGAAAACACAGUGAGGGAUAUUGGAAUGGAUUGCCUGACUGACUAACCCUUCCACUACAAUUUUCACGGCCCCAAAAAUCCAGAGUGGCGUCGCAGUGUCAGAGGCGUCACUACAGACCCUGGUUCGAUCCCGGGCUCUAUCACAACCGGCCGUGAUAGGGCGGCGCACAAUUGGCCCAGCGUCGUCCGGGUUGGGGGGGGAGGGGCACCUGCAGGCUGACCAGUUAAACGGUGUUUCCGCCGACACAGCAACCUUCCCACUAGCCAUGAUUGGCUGAGAUAAUGAGUGGGCUGGACAUGCCGAGAGAGUAGUAGUUCGGAUUGGUCCUGCCAUAUAGAAGGCUUCUCUAUCUGUUUGAGCUCGUCAGUCUGUCUUGGUAAUGUAGUAGAGCUGCGUAAGUGUUGCUCUCCACUUUCUGGAGGAUCAAGUUUUGAAAAAUCUGUGGAAAUUAGAGUCUGAUAGCUAAGGAGAUGGAGGAAACACCUGUCUCCGGGAUUACAUCUUCAAAACUAAGGGCAACCGUGGCGUGGCAUCCGUGACAGGGAGAGGCGUCCAUCAUGGAUCAUGGAUGUAUACGGGUAAGAUAGCUUGUUACAUUUUCAGAUAUUACACGUUUUCUAAUUUUGACAGAAUGGGGUUUUCAUUUCAAGCUAAAGUGCACCGUUAGCUAGCUAGCUACGGGUCUGAAGCUAAAGUGCACUGUUAGCUAGCUAGCUAACGUUAGCCGGCUGGCUCAUUAGCUAACGUUAGCCGGCUGGCUCAUUAGC